rnacentral:lncRNA from 10 species
CUUGCUCAUACUGUCUUGGUUUGCUUUUUUUUAUGCUGACUUAAGCUGCAGCAUCUGUAUGAAGGGGUUUAGCACAAUUGUAAAUACUAAUCUCCAGGCUGCCAAUGUCAUUACGGAAGUAGAUACAAGUAAAUGAAACUCACAGUACAUUUCUAUAGACACUGUGGGUGAUUUUGAAGACAUAUGUAUCUUCCAAGCUGUUACAAUCUUCCUGAAUAUAUUUCUUCGUAGGCCGGAGGAGCAUUCCUUUAUGAACAGCCUUAAGGUGAAAGGCUCAGUCCUUCAGAUUCCAUCUACCCCUGCCCAGCUCCUCCCCAAGAAGACCUUUGGAUGAAUAGGAAAGAUAUGGGGUUUACAUGACCUCAUGAUACCCUGG